rnacentral:rRNA from 1 species
GUGAACGCUGGCGGUAGGCCUAACACAUGCAAGUCGAACGGCAGCACAGUAGAGCUUGCUCUUACGGGUGGCGAGUGGCGGACGGGUGAGGAAUACAUCGGAAUCUACUUUUUCGUGGGGGAUAACGUAGGGGAACUUACGCUAAUACCGCAUACGACCUACGGGUGAAAGCAGGGGAUCUUCGGACCUUGCGCGAUUGAAUGAGCCGAUGUCAGAUUAGCUAGUUGGCGGGGUAAAGGCCCACCAAGGCGACGAUCCGUAGCUGGUCUGAGAGGAUGAUCAGCCACACUGGAACUGAGACACGGUCCAGACUCCUACGGGAGGCAGCAGUGGGGAAUAUUGGACAAUGGGCGCAAGCCUGAUCCAGCCAUACCGCGUGGGUGAAGAAGGCCUUCGGGUUGUAAAGCCCUUUUGUUGGGAAAGAAAAGCAGCAGGUUAAUACCCCGCUGUUCUGACGGUACCCAAAGAAUAAGCACCGGCUAACUUCGUG